rnacentral:lncRNA from 1 species
UAUAACUAAUAACAUAUAAAUAUGUAUUUUUUAACAAAAUAUUUUAAAUACAAAAAUCAUUUAUUUCAUAAAUUAUAAAAAUUAAUUGAAAUAAAAAAGAAUAUAAAGGUCAAAUAAUUUCAUCAUUUUUUAAUAAGAUAUAUGAAAUACAAAAACAUAAAUAUAUUAAGUUCCUAUAUAAAGAAAUAUUAUUAACAAAAGUGAUUAAAGAUCUAAUAUUUUAAAAAAAGAGAUAUAAUAAUUGUAUAAGAUAAUAUAAAAGUAUUUACAAAUAUUAUAUAUUACAUUAAUAUGAAAAAACUUGUUGUAUUAAAUUUUAUUUAAUUUAAAUAUUUAAGGUCAUUUUUUUUAUUGAAUCAUAUAACAUUGUAUACUUAAAAUAAUUAAUAAUUAAUUUUAAAUAUGGAUAUUAUUAGUAAAAAUAAUGUUAGAUAAUUCUUUUUUGG